rnacentral:rRNA from 1 species
ACGGGGUGCAGCAGGCGCGAAAACUUUACAAUGCGGGAAACCGUGAUAAGGGAACCCCGAGUGCCCGUAAAUUCGGGCUGUCCAUCAGCGUAAAUAACUGGUGAAGAAAGGGCCGGGCAAGACCGGUGCCAGCCGCCGCGGUAAUACCGGCGGCUCGAGUGGUGGCCACUAUUAUUGGGCUUAAAGCGUCCGUAGCUUGGUUGUUAAGUCUCUUGGGAAAUCUACCGGCUCAACCGGUAGGCGUUCAGGAGAUACUGGCAAUCUAGGGACCGGGAGAGGUGAGAGGUACUCCAGGGGUAGGAGUGAAAUCCUGUAAUCCUUGGGGGACCACCUGUGGCGAAGGCGUCUCACUAGAACGGCUCCGACAGUGAGGGACGAAAGCUGGGGGAGCAAACCGGAUUAGAUACCCCUGUAGUCC